rnacentral:lncRNA from 1 species
AUAAAGAAAAAACAGGUUCUAAGUUCUGAGUUCUUAUCAUACUGAAAAUUAUGAUAUUGUUUUUAACAUGAACUUGGGUUGAUUUCCAUCACCCGAAAAUUCCAAAAACAUAUAAAUAGAAAACUGAGAAGUAGCACAUACCAGUUUUGUACAUUACAUUUCAGCACACAUUCAUGCGAAGGACUUAGAACUGAAGAAAGACACAUGAAACCAAAAUAAACACCUGUAGUCCUGAUGGAAAUGGAACAUGAGGAUAACCUACACCUGAGAAAUGAACUGAGAAGUUGAAUUAUGCUGAAAAAAAAAUAGAUGCUUUAAGAAGAUUCAUUAUCUUUGCUGAAACCACAAAAGAUGAAAUUAGAGGAUCUUGCAUUUGGAAUUCACCUGAUUGAGCACUAAGCUCCAACAAUUGGCUCUGAGUAAGUGAAAGGAUGAUAAAUUAAGAUACGCUAUAGAGGUCAGGUGCAUAAUUACCAUGAUAUCAGUUGAAUCUAAGAAGAAACACAUAAACAUUAGUUCCGUCCAAUUUGCACAAAAAUUGAAAAACCAAAUAAGCAAAUACAAUUUUUAUUUGAGAUAUGAAAACAUAUUACAGCAAAGACCAAAAAGAAGGCACAACCAAGUUUAAUAACCUAAAAUCCAUCAACCCUAAACCUUAAUUCCGUCAAAAUACCCAUAAUACCUGCAAAGAAACUAUUUGCAUGAUUCACAACCAAAAAGAGUGUAAAUACACCAAUUUUUGCUCUUAAAUUCAAAAGAGGAGAAAAUUAGGAUUAGAGUUUCACGAUUUUUACCCAAAUUUGGCUACGUACAAACCUACCCAUAGCCAUUCUAGUUUGUACAGCCUCAAGUCAUCAUCACCCCAAAGAAUGUUAAACAUGUAAAAUGGAAAUGAAUCAAUUCCCUAAAAUUUUGAAACUGGGGAUAUUCCGAAUAUGGACAAAAACCUAGAAUAUCUUACCUUCUUGUGUAUAGCACGUCCUCCAGAAUCCACAGCUGAAAACAGAAUGAAGUUCAGAGUAUGAUGAAGAAGAAGAAGAAAUGGAAUUGUCCAUAUGAAAAAAAAUGAGAGAACUAAGAGGGUGAAAGCAAACAUACCCAAUUGCAAUCCAAUGAUUUAGCCUGGAAAAACAUUUCAUAAGGACAAAAAAAAGUGAAAUUAAAAACCCUAUUGAAUCAAAUGAAGAAUUUUUUAGAGUGCAAAUAGUUAGUAUUAUCAGCAAGAAGAAACUUGAUACCCUAAAAUGCAAAAGUAUGUGCCUAUAAUGCAAUCCGACAAAACAUGGACAGCAGCUAUCAGAGAAUUGAAAAUUUACUAAUAAAAUGAACCAAAGACCAAUUUUGAAUAAUCAGGAAUGAUGACGUUUUAACAUUGACAUAGUGUGUUUGUAUGUGAGAGAGAGAUGGAAAUAGAGUUAGAGUUAGAUUUAGACAAAUGCAGAAAUCAACCUUAAGAUUCCCUCUGGUUCAAAUGGUGCAAGCACCAUUGAGGAGAAUCAGACGGCAGAGGUCGAUAGUCCGGAGAAUUAACAAUGUAUUCCUGAAACACAAAGGAUUAAAAAAAUUCGAUUAUCAUCAAUGAAAUGCACUAAUACAGAACUUAAAUUCUGAUAUUCAAUUAUCCACUUAGCAGAGAAGGACCAUGAGAAUGACUUUUAUUCUUCUAAAACAGGAUGUUGAUAAAGGUUAUGCUUGCCCGAAAUAACUGGAUUGAUAAAGUGAAAAUUUUGAUGCUUUAAGAUCUGAGCUAAAAGUUGAAGCUUCAACUUUCCAACUCAGGAAGAAAUAACACUGAAAUGCACAAAAUAAAAGGCUUGAUUUCCAAACCAUUAAAAGGAAAUUAAGAAAUUAAUUUAUAUUUAAUUUGGGUGUGGGAUUUGAACAGAAAACCCAUUUGUUCCAUCCUCCCAGAUUCAUGCUUUUUUCUUCCCUUUUUGCACCCACUCCUGUCGACGAUAAUUCUCCACUUGUCUUUUAUUUUUUAAUUAUUUGACUCGAUCAAAACAUGGAAUCACAUUUUCUCAACCACCAAACUAAAAAUCAAAGCAGAUCAGAAAAGUACACCCAAAACUUGAAAAAAUUAAAUCAAACACAAUCAGAAAAAUAGAAAACUCACUAGUAAACGUUUGAUCGUAUCCUUAACUUUUCCUGAAAUCAAAAAUCAAAACACAUUAGAGAACCACAAAUAAACCACGGAAAAAAAAAAUUAAAAUCCCAUGUGGCAAGAAAACCAAUUAACUCACCAAAGAACUUUAGAUCGCAUAGGCAAAAAAACGAUUCGAAAUUAACCCAGAUCGACAACCACAACGAAAAUCACAAAGUCCAUAAAUAAGGAAAAGCAGAGGAUGGAAAAUUUUCCAGUAAGAAAACGACCAUGGGUAAGAGGGAUGUAAAGCAAGAAAACUGCCGUACUUAAUCGGCGAGAAAAACCCGACAAUGGCCGAGAACGACGGGCAUCAAGAACAACGACCGCGUAGAAGAGGCAAAAAACGCUAGGUUCCAGAAGAAUAAAAAACUAAUAAUGGAGAGAGAGAACCGAAGCACCCAAAGAAAUCGAAACCGGAGAGGAUGAACGCGUGGACUGGGAGGGUAAGGUAGUCAUUUUACUGUAGAAAAGAUGGCAAAAAAGUGGCUUAACAAACGAAUUGAGGGGUAUUUUGGUCCGCGCACUGUCCGUGAACAGUACCACGUCGUUGGGGUUUUAGUAUAGGUAUAAUAUACAUUGAAUGGAAUUAGUGUAAUUUUGUAUCCAAUACAAAUUACAAUACCUUAAUGAAACUAAACCAUAAAUUUUUAACAUAACAGUAAGGGUUCGUGAAAUCACGAAAAAAAAUAAGAUAAAAAUACAUAUUAGUAUACCUUAAAAACUUAAUAGUCAUAUCUUCAUCACUCAAGAUUAAUGAGUACAUCCACCAUGCAUUACAUAAGUAAUCAAUAUAAAUUCGAAACCAUCAUAUUAAAAUGGACAGUGAAACUAAAAUCCCGCCACCCUUUAGAUUCUGCAAAAAAGAGUAACCAUUAUUUAUCUAAUAAAUUAGUAUAUAAUAAAGAAGACCAAAUGAAAGGGCUGAAACCUGAAACCUUUCAUAGUCGGAUGGUGCAAAAUAUACUUCUUCCGUAUUUUCCCUUUGAAACCAACUUCAAAAUUGAUUAUACAAAUUAAAAAAUUUCAAACAUUCACUUACCCAUAAACCAAUAAUAAAUUUUUUAUUCUGUUAGUUAAAUUAAACUCAUUGGCAGAAGGAACAUAAAAAUGAAAAUUUCUACUAAAUUAAUUAAAAUAAAUUAAUGCGCAAUAAGAACAUAAACAACCUUUUGAAUUAAUCUAAAGAGGUACAAACUAAAGAUAUUAAGAUUAAGAUUGACAAGACGAAGUGAUUGAGAUUGAGAAUUGAGAAUAAAAGAUUAAGAUUGAGAGUUGAGAAGUUGUACUUAGGAAGACACUUUGAUAGAAACUACUUUUUGUUGAACAUGGAUGAAGUUUUUCAGUUUCCAUGUUCUAUUUUUAUUUGAAGGAUUUGUCUCAUUUUUAUUUGUUUUUUGGAAAAAUUAGUAUCCGGUCCCUAGUUCUUACUUCAUUGACUAAGACCUUAUUAGUUCACAAAUUUUGAUUCAAGUCCGUAGCAAUAAUGUGAUAAUGAAUUUACAUGUUUAUUAUAUAAUUUUUUAAUAUAA